rnacentral:rRNA from 1 species
GCUCAGCCGUAAACCUUAACUUACAUCCAAAUCGCCAGGGAACUACGAGCUAACGCUUAAAACCCAAAGGACUUGACGGUGCCCCAUAUCCACCUAGAGGAGCCUGUCCUGUAAUCGAUAACCCCCGUUUAACCUCACCACUCUUUGCCUAUCAGUCUGUAUACCUCCGUCGUCAGCUUACCGCGUGAGCGCAACUCAGUAAGCGAGAGAGUCUCCGCUAAAACGUCAGGUCAAGGUGCAACUUAUAGAGUGGGAAGAGAUGGGCUACACUCUCUAACUUAGAACAAACGAAAGACUACUUAUGAAACCUUAGUCAGAAGGCGGAUUUAGAAGUAAACAGAGACAAGAGCGCUCCGUUUAACAUGGCCCUGGGGUGUGUACACACCGCCCGUCACCCUCUUCGAAUGCACCUAAAUAGUAUUUAACACGAUUUAUGUAAUAAAGAAGAGGCAAGUCGUAACAUGGUAAGCUUACCGGAAGGUGUGCUUGGAAA